rnacentral:tmRNA from 1 species
GGGGGCGAUGGGUUUCGACAGAGAGUGCACAAGCCCGGGUUGCAGGCCGAGGCGCCGCUGGCCUCGUUAAAAGCGGCAAACCAACAAGAGCCAACACUCAGUACGCUCUCGCUGCCUAACUUAGCGCAGCGCGUCCACCCGAACCUUGCCGGUGGAGUCGGUGUUGGGCGUGUCUAAUCCGGCUCAGGCUUGCUCCGCAGCCCGCAGGAGUCAGCCGAAAACAACGCGGGCUGGCAACAGGUGACCCCGCCCGCCGGGGGGCCUGAAGCGAGAUCAAAAGGCGGGCUAAGCCUGUAGAAGCCUAGGUUUCGGCCCCUCUGGACCCGGGUUCAACUCCCGGCGCCUCCACCA